UCUCUGUGUGAGGAACUUCUGAAGGGGUUGGGAAAGCAAUAUUCCUUUUGACCUCCAGCAUUUGUCCACCCACAACAAAUAAGAACCUUUGUGGAUUCCAAGUGUCUGAUCCCAGAUGUCAGCUCUUCGCUCACACUGGUUCUACUCCCUCUGGGCUGCUAACAGGACUAGACCUGCUGAUUAUUCCCCGGAUUUUACUUGUACACCGGGACCACUGGGAACCAAAGCAAUGAAACAGAAAGCAUCUGUAGAACAUAACGCUGUUCUUGAAAAUGACUUAAGACAAAGCAAAUGAAUGACAUGAUAUUUAGUUACCAUAGUCACCAAACAAGUGAAUAAGCCAUUUUAAAAUGUAUGGCCAGUACAAGUUUCAUCAGCGAAAAAAAUGGCCGCAUAAAACAUCCCAUGAAUGCAUUUGUGAUAUGGGCAAGAAUUCACCGGCAAAGGAUAGCUCGGUCAAAUCCAGCUCUCUGCAAAAGAUAUCAGCAGAGGAGCAGAAAAAGCCAUAUUUUGAUGAGGCCAAUAAAAUAAAAAGACAACACCAGGCAUUGUUUCCAGAACUAGAUAUGGCCCCAGACACUCCAUAGGCCCCAGACGCCUCCUGAGGAUCCCUGAGGGACCAUCAAAUCGGACUGAAGAUGUGGGGACCCAAUCAACACCUGAGCGGCCAGACCCUACACUUAGUCAGUCAAUUCAGGAGGACAUUGCCUCCAUAAAGUCAUGGCAAAAAUGCAGCAGGACAUUGCUGAGCUCAAGGCCAGCAAGGCCUAACUUUUUUUAAUAGUAUGUAUAUAUAUGAAAGAUUCU